UUAAGCGACUAAGCGUACACGGUGGAUGCCCUGGCAGUCAGAGGCGAUGAAGGACGUGCUAAUCUGCGAUAAGCGUCGGUAAGGUGAUAUGAACCGUUAUAACCGGCGAUUUCCGAAUGGGGAAACCCAGUGUGAUUCGUCACACUAUCAUUAACUGAAUCCAUAGGUUAAUGAGGCGAACCGGGGGAACUGAAACAUCUAAGUACCCCGAGGAAAAGAAAUCAACCGAGAUUCCCCCAGUAGCGGCGAGCGAACGGGGAGGAGCCCAGAGCCUGAAUCAGUGUGUGUGUUAGUGGAAGCGUCUGGAAAGGCGCGCGAUACAGGGUGACAGCCCCGUACACAAAAAUGCACAUGCUGUGAGCUCGAUGAGUAGGGCGGGACACGUGGUAUCCUGUCUGAAUAUGGGGGGACCAUCCUCCAAGGCUAAAUACUCCUGACUGACCGAUAGUGAACCAGUACCGUGAGUGAAAGGCGAAAAGAACCCCGGCGAGGGGAGUGAAAAAGAACCUGAAACCGUGUACGUACAAGCAGUGGGAGCACAGAGCAAUCUGUGUGACUGCGUACCUUUUGUAUAAUGGGUCAGCGACUUAUAUUCUGUAGCAAGGUUAACCGAAUAGGGGAGCCGAAGGGAAACCGAGUCUUAACUGGGCGUUAAGUUGCAGGGUAUAGACCCGAAACCCGGUGAUCUAGCCAUGGGCAGGUUGAAGGUUGGGUAACACUAACUGGAGGACCGAACCGACUAAUGUUGAAAAAUUAGCGGAUGACUUGUGGCUGGGGGUGAAAGGCAAAUCAAACCGGGAGAUAGCUGGUUCUCCCCGAAAGCUAUUUAGGUAGCGCCUCGUGAAUUCAUCUCCGGGGGUAGAGCACUGUUUCGGCAAGGGGGUCAUCCCGACUUACCAACCCGAUGCAAACUGCGAAUACCGGAGAAUGUUAUCACGGGAGACACACGGCGGGUGCUAACGUCCGUCGUGAAGAGGGAAACAACCCAGACCGCCAGCUAAGGUCCCAAAGUCAUGGUUAAGUGGGAAACGAUGUGGGAAGGCCCAGACAGCCAGGAUGUUGGCUUAGAAGCAGCCAUCAUUUAAAGAAAGCGUAAUAGCUCACUGGUCGAGUCGGCCUGCGCGGAAGAUGUAACGGGGCUAAACCAUGCACCGAAGCUGCGGCAGCGACACUGUGUGUUGUUGGGUAGGGGAGCGUUCUGUAAGCCUGUGAAGGUGUGCUGUGAGGCAUGCUGGAGGUAUCAGAAGUGCGAAUGCUGACAUAAGUAACGAUAAAGCGGGUGAAAAGCCCGCUCGCCGGAAGACCAAGGGUUCCUGUCCAACGUUAAUCGGGGCAGGGUGAGUCGACCCCUAAGGCGAGGCCGAAAGGCGUAGUCGAUGGGAAACAGGUUAAUAUUCCUGUACUUGGUGUUACUGCGAAGGGGGGACGAGAAGGCUAUGUAGGCCGGGCGACGGUUGUCCCGGUUUAAGCGUGUAGGCUGGUUUUCCAGGCAAAUCCGGAAAAUCAAGGCUGAGGCGUGAUGACGAGGCACUACGGUGCUGAAGCAACAAAUGCCCUGCUUCCAGGAAAAGCCUCUAAGCAUCAGGUAACAUCAAAUCGUACCCCAAACCGACACAGGUGGUCAGGUAGAGAAUACCAAGGCGCUUGAGAGAACUCGGGUGAAGGAACUAGGCAAAAUGGUGCCGUAACUUCGGGAGAAGGCACGCUGAUAUGUAGGUGAAGUCCCUCGCGGAUGGAGCUGAAAUCAGUCGAAGAUACCAGCUGGCUGCAACUGUUUAUUAAAAACACAGCACUGUGCAAACACGAAAGUGGACGUAUACGGUGUGACGCCUGCCCGGUGCCGGAAGGUUAAUUGAUGGGGUCAGCGCAAGCGAAGCUCUUGAUCGAAGCCCCGGUAAACGGCGGCCGUAACUAUAACGGUCCUAAGGUAGCGAAAUUCCUUGUCGGGUAAGUUCCGACCUGCACGAAUGGCGUAAUGAUGGCCAGGCUGUCUCCACCCGAGACUCAGUGAAAUUGAACUCGCUGUGAAGAUGCAGUGUACCCGCGGCAAGACGGAAAGACCCCGUGAACCUUUACUAUAGCUUGACACUGAACAUUGAGCCUUGAUGUGUAGGAUAGGUGGGAGGCUUUGAAGUGUGGACGCCAGUCUGCAUGGAGCCGACCUUGAAAUACCACCCUUUAAUGUUUGAUGUUCUAACGUGGACCCGUGAUCCGGGUUGCGGACAGUGUCUGGUGGGUAGUUUGACUGGGGCGGUCUCCUCCUAAAGAGUAACGGAGGAGCACGAAGGUUGGCUAAUCCUGGUCGGACAUCAGGAGGUUAGUGCAAUGGCAUAAGCCAGCUUGACUGCGAGCGUGACGGCGCGAGCAGGUGCGAAAGCAGGUCAUAGUGAUCCGGUGGUUCUGAAUGGAAGGGCCAUCGCUCAACGGAUAAAAGGUACUCCGGGGAUAACAGGCUGAUACCGCCCAAGAGUUCAUAUCGACGGCGGUGUUUGGCACCUCGAUGUCGGCUCAUCACAUCCUGGGGCUGAAGUAGGUCCCAAGGGUAUGGCUGUUCGCCAUUUAAAGUGGUACGCGAGCUGGGUUUAGAACGUCGUGAGACAGUUCGGUCCCUAUCUGCCGUGGGCGCUGGAGAACUGAGGGGGGCUGCUCCUAGUACGAGAGGACCGGAGUGGACGCAUCACUGGUGUUCGGGUUGUCAUGCCAAUGGCACUGCCCGGUAGCUAAAUGCGGAAGAGAUAAGUGCUGAAAGCAUCUAAGCACGAAACUUGCCCCGAGAUGAGUUCUCCCUGACCCUUUAAGGGUCCUGAAGGAACGUUGAAGACGACGACGUUGAUAGGCCGGGUGUGUAAGCGCAGCGAUGCGUUGAGCUAACCGGUACUAAUGAACCGUGAGGCUUAACCUU
rnacentral:rRNA from 1 species